rnacentral:lncRNA from 1 species
UUAGGGUAUAAACCUAACAAUAGGCAAAAACUCUUUAGUAAUUUCUUUGUUAAAGCAGGAGAAAACAAAACUAAGAAAAUAACAUAUUUUUGCUGUGGAACAUUAGGACACAAAGCAAAUGUAUGUGAUUUUAGAAAAGGAAAAACCAAAAGAAAAAUUAAAAGGGUUUGGGUUCCAAAAGGAACCAACAUUACUAACCAUGAAGGACCCAAGAAAACUUGGGUACCUAAAACUGUAUGAUUUGCUUGUGUAGGAGUGUCUUGCAGCCAAGGACAACAAAAAUUGUUGGUACUUGGAUAGUGGCUGCUC